rnacentral:rRNA from 1 species
GACGAACGCUGGCGGCGUGCCUAAUACAUGCAAGUCGAGCGGAAGUUGGAGAGCUUGCUCUUCAACUUUAUCGGCGGACGGGUGAGUAACACGUGGGCAACCUGCCCUGCAGAUCGGGAUAACUCCGGGAAACCGGUGCUAAUACCGAAUAGUUUUCGCCACCUCCUGGUGGCGUACGGAAAGACGGUUUCGGCUGUCACUGCAGGAUGGGCCGGCGGCGCAUUAGCUAGUUGGUGAGGUAACGGCUCACCAAGGCGACGAUGCGUAGCCGACCUGAGAGGGUGCUCGGCCACACUGGGACUGAGACACGGCCCAGACUCCUACGGGAGGCAGCAGUAGGGAAUCUUCCGCAAUGGACGAAAGUCUGACGGAGCAACGCCGCGUGAGUGAUGAAGGUUUUCGGAUCGUAAAACUCUGUUGUCAGGGAAGAACAAGUGCCGGAGUAACUGCCGGCGCCUUGACGGUACCUGACCAGAAAGCCACGGCUAACUACGUGCCAGCCGCCGCAGUAAGAC